GAUGAAGAACGUAUCGAAAUGCGAUACUUGGUGUGAAUUGCAGAAUCCCGUGAACCAUCGAGUCUUUGAACGCAAGUUGCGCCCGAAGCCAUUAGGCCGAGGGCACGCCUGCCUGGGCGUCACACGUCGUUGCCCCCCCAUCUACUCCUUCGGGAUUGCGGGGGGCGGAUGAUGGCCUCUCGUGCGCCUCGUCGCGCGGUUGGCCUAAAUGCCAAGUCCUCGGCGACGCACGCCACGACAAUCGGUGGUUGCGAAACCUCGGUUGCCUGUCGUGUGCGGUCGUCGCGCAUCGAGGGCUCGAAAAAAUUGCCGGGCUUCGGCUCGACUUUCAACGCGACCCCAGGUCAGGCGGGGUUACCCGCUGAAUUUAAGCAUAUCAAUAAGCGGAGGA
rnacentral:misc_RNA from 1 species